rnacentral:rRNA from 1 species
GACAGAGGGUGCAAACGUUGCUCGGAAUCACUGGGCGUAAAGGGCGUGUAGGCGGGAAGGAAAGUCAGAUGUGAAAGCCCUGGGCUCAACCCAGGAACUGCAUUUGAAACUCCCUUUCUUGAGUGUCGGAGAGGAAAGCGGAAUUCCUGGUGUAGAGGUGAAAUUCGUAGAUAUCAGGAGGAACACCGGUGGCGAAGGCGGCUUUCUGGACAGUAACUGACGCUGGAGACGCGAAAGCGUGGGGAGCAAACAGG